AGCGAACGCUGGCGGCAGGCCUAACACAUGCAAGUCGAACGAAGUCUUCGGACUUAGUGGCGGACGGGUGAGUAACACGUGGGAACGUGCCUUUAGGUUCGGAAUAACUCAGGGAAACUUGUGCUAAUACCGAAUGUGCCCUUCGGGGGUAAGAUUUAUCGCCUUUAGAGCGGCCCGCGUCUGAUUAGCUAGUUGGUGAGGUAAAGGCUCACCAAGGCUACGAUCAGUAGCUGGUCUGAGAGGAUGACCAGCCACAUUGGGACUGAGACACGGCCCAAACUCCUACGGGAGGCAGCAGUGGGGAAUCUUGCGCAAUGGGCGAAAGCCUGACGCAGUCAUGCCGCGUGGAUGAUGAAGGUCUUAGGAUUGUAAAAUCCUUUCACCGGUGAAGAUAAUGACUGUAGCCGGAGAAGAAGCCCCGGCUAACUUCGUGCCAGCAGCCGCGGUAAAAC
rnacentral:rRNA from 1 species